GCUUACGGCCAUACCACCCUGAAUGCGCCCGAUCUCGUCUGAUCUCAGAAGCUAAGCAGGGUCAGGCCUGGUUAGUACUUGGAUGGGUGACCGCCUGGGAAUACCAUGUGCUGUAAGCU
rnacentral:rRNA from 1 species